GUGUUUGCUCCGGUAUCCAUAUACGAAAACUGAAACGACACAGAGAAGAUCAGCCUGGAACUGUGUGGGAAGGACACCCAAAUCCGGGAAGCACUACAUAUUUUU
ensembl:snRNA U6 U6 spliceosomal RNA